GAAAUGCUUUCAGAGGGAACGUCACUGCUGCCACCCUUGACACCUCAGCUCCUAAUCUUAGUAAGAGAACCGGAACUACCCUUUUAUCUCAGGUAUCAAACUCAUGAAGAGCAAAGAAGAGAGGAGAGAGACAUUACUCAAAGAUUUGGGAAUUUGGGAGUUAAAGAGACAACAUUUAUAGAUAGAGCCUCCCUAGAGUAAACUUACUUGUUGCCCUCUGCACAAAAGGGAACCAAAAUGAAUUCAACUCCACACUCUGGUUAUCCACAACGAGGACCUAUCCCUCGACGUGCAUCACUUACAGCAAAAACUUUGGUUUUCCAAAUUGAUUCAAUGUCUCUCGAUUCCACCUGGAUAAUAGACGUUGCAAUGUCAAACCAAGUCAGCUUCGGUUUCUGCGAGGAGUAAGGGCCAUGUGCAGAAUUGAAACCAUUCCUUUUCAAUGUCAUUUAUUUUCUGGCAACAGUUUUGGGAAUCUCCACUGGUGAUACGAGGAAAGUCAGCACAAGGCAGCAAAGAUUUCCUCCUCUGAAUCUUUUAAUCUUUUUAUGUUGAUUCUUUGCCAACAAAACCUAAGGAAAUAACUUGGCUUACAUAUAAUUGCCAUGCAUUACCAUAACCUGUUGCUAGGUGUGGUUUCCAAACAGUUUUUAUUUCCUAUGUACGUUCUUUGAUAAUAAAACAACAUGACCCUUCUAGUAAUUAGUAAUGCUUUUCAAUAAUCACUCAUGGAAGGAAUUGGCAUAACCCUACAAGUCUAGUUAUGUUUCAAGUAAGAAUUUGUUCAUAUAUAUUUAUUUAUUUAUUUAAUAAUGGAAGGUGUUAUAGACAUGGAUCGAUAUUAUACUUCCCAACACAGAAACUAAUAGAAGCUCAACUGGAAAGCUUCUGAUUCUGCUGUUAGACUCAAAAGCAAAAGCCUAGAAAAGAGCAGUCUGUAUUUUUGAAAGUUUGCUUAUUAAAGAAAAAUGUCUUAUUUCUUCAAAGGAACAUUAAGCAGAAUGUAAAAGAUUAUGGGUCACGUGAAAGGACUGUGAAAUGGCUCUUCUAAAUUCACAGAAAUUGGCUGCAACUAUUUUCUUUCUUAUUCUAGGAAAAAAGAAGAGCUUUUUCUAUGAUGUGUUAAAAUAGCUCAGAAGGCUUUAUUCAAAGAAUGGGGAGAAACAUUGCGUUUUCGGUGAUUUUAAUAUUGAAAAGUUUGCAGGAAAUGCUC